GACGAACGCUGGCGGCGUGCUUAACACAUGCAAGUCGAACGCGCCUGUCCUCUGGGUUUCUGGGGGGUGGGUGAGUGGCGAACGGGUGAGUAACACGUGAGUAACCUGCCCCCUUCUUCGGGAUAACGGUCUGAAAGGGCUGCUAAUACCGGGUAUUCACUGGUCUCCGCAUGGGGUCUGGUGGAAAGGUUUUUUUCUGGUGGGGGAUGGGCUCGCGGCCUAUCAGCUUGUUGGUGGGGUGAUGGCCCACCAAGGCUUUGACGGGUAGCCGGCCUGAGAGGGUGACCGGUCAUAUUGGGACUGAGAUACGGCCCAGACUCCUACGGGAGGCAGCAGUGGGGAAGAUUGCACAAUGGGCGCAAGCCUGAUGCAGCGACGCCGCGUGAGGGAUGGAGGCCUUCGGGUUGUGAACCUCUUUCGCCCGUGGUCAAGCCGCGACGUGGGUCGUGGUGAGGGUAGUGGGUAAAGAAGCGCCGGCUAACUACGUG
rnacentral:rRNA from 1 species